AGUGAACGCUGGCGGUAGGCCUAACACAUGCAAGUCGAACGGCAGCACAGAGGAGCUUGCUCCUUGGGUGGCGAGUGGCGGACGGGUGAGGAAUACAUCGGAAUCUACUCUGUCGUGGGGGAUAACGUAGGGAAACUUACGCUAAUACCGCAUACGACCUACGGGUGAAAGCAGGGGAUCUUCGGACCUUGCGCGAUUGAAUGAGCCGAUGUCGGAUUAGCUGGUUGGCGGGGUAAAGGCCCACCAGGGCGACGAUCCGUAGCUGGUCUGAGAGGAUGAUCAGCCACACUGGAACUGAGACACGGUCCAGACUCCUACGGGAGGCAGCAGUGGGGAAUAUUGGACAAUGGGCGCAAGCCUGAUCCAGCCAUACCGCGUGGGUGAAGAAGGCCUUCGGGUUGUAAAGCCCUUUUGUUGGGAAAGAAAUCCAUCUGGUUAAUACCCGGGUGGGAUGACGGUACCCAAAGAAUAAGCACCGGCUAACUUCGUGCCAGCAGCCGCGGUAA
rnacentral:rRNA from 1 species